rnacentral:rRNA from 1 species
UGGGUAACCUGCCUCAAAGAGGGGAAUAGCCUCCCGAAAGGGAGAUUAAUACCGCAUAAUAUGUUUUAAUCGCAUGAUUUUAACAUCAAAGGAUUUUCUUCGGAACUUCCACUUUGAGAUGGACCCGCGGCGCAUUAGCUAGUUGGUGAGGUAACGGCUCACCAAGGCAACGAUGCGUAGCCGACCUGAGAGGGUGAUCGGCCACAUUGGAACUGAGACACGGUCCAGACUCCGUAGGGAGG